rnacentral:rRNA from 1 species
GACGAACGCUGGCGGCGUGCUUAACACAUGCAAGUCGAACGCUGAAGCUUGGUGCUUGCACUGGGUGGAUGAGUGGCGAACGGGUGAGUAAUACGUGAGUAACCUGCCCUUGACUCUGGGAUAAGCCUGGGAAACUGGGUCUAAUACUGGAUAUGACAUGCCACUGCAUGGUGGUGUGUGGAAAGGGUUUUACUGGUUUUGGAUGGGCUCACGGCCUAUCAGCUUGUUGGUGGGGUAAUGGCCUACCAAGGCGACGACGGGUAGCCGGCCUGAGAGGGUGACCGGCCACACUGGGACUGAGACACGGCCCAGACUCCUACGGGAGGCAGCAGUGGGGAAUAUUGCACAAUGGGCGGAAGCCUGAUGCAGCGUCGCCGCGUGAGGGAUGACGGCCUUCGGGUUGUAAACCUCUUUCAGCACGGAAGAAGCGAGAGUGACGGUACGUGCAGAAGAAGCGCCGGCUAACUACGUG